rnacentral:rRNA from 1 species
UACGGAGGAUCCAAGCGUUAUCCGGAUUUAUUGGGUUUAAAGGGUGCGUAGGCGGCCUAUUAAGUCAGGGGUGACGGACGGUAGCUCAACUGUCGCAGUGCCCUUGAUACUGAUGGGCUUGAAUGAACUAGAGGUAGGCGGAAUGUGACAAGUAGCGGUGAAAUGCAUAGAUAUGUCACAGAACACCAAUUGCGAAGGCAGCUUACUAUGGUGUCAUUGACGCUGAGGCACGAAAGCGUGGGGAUCAAACAGG